UGGAGAGUUUGAUCCUGGCUCAGGACGAACGCUGGCGGCGUGCUUAACACAUGCAAGUCGAACGGUAAGGCCCUUCGGGGUACACGAGUGGCGAACGGGUGAGUAACACGUGGGUAAUCUGCCCUGCACAUCGGGAUAAGCCUGGGAAACUGGGUCUAAUACCGAAUAGGACCACAGGACACAUGUCCUGUGGUGGAAAGCUUUUGCGGUGUGGGAUGGGCCCGCGGCCUAUCAGCUUGUUGGUGGGGUGAUGGCCUACCAAGGCGACGACGGGUAGCCGGCCUGAGAGGGUGUCCGGCCACACUGGGACUGAGAUACGGCCCAGACUCCUACGGGAGGCAGCAGUGGGGAAUAUUGCACAAUGGGCGAAAGCCUGAUGCAGCGACGCCGCGUGGGGGAUGACGGCCUUCGGGUUGUAAACCUCUUUCACCAUCGACGAAGGUCCGGGUUUUCUCGGGCUGACGGUAGGUGGAGAAGAACACCGGCCAACUACGUGCCAGCAGCCGCGGUA
rnacentral:rRNA from 1 species